rnacentral:sRNA from 1 species
UCGCGGCCUUGGGUUGUUUCGGCGCCGC